rnacentral:rRNA from 1 species
AUUGAACGCUGGCGGCAGGCUUAACACAUGCAAGUCGAGCGGGGUGAUGGUGCUUGCACUAUCACUUAGCGGCGGACGGGUGAGUAAUGCUUAGGAAUCUGCCUAUUAGUGGGGGACAACAUCUCGAAAGGGAUGCUAAUACCGCAUACGUCCUACGGGAGAAAGCAGGGGAUCACUUGUGACCUUGCGCUAAUAGAUGAGCCUAAGUCGGAUUAGCUAGUUGGUGGGGUAAAGGCCUACCAAGGCGACGAUCUGUAGCGGGUCUGAGAGGAUGAUCCGCCACACUGGGACUGAGACACGGCCCAGACUCCGACGGGAGGCGGCAGUGGGGAAUAUUGGACAAUGGGGGGAACCCUGAUCCAGCCAUGCCGCGUGUGUGAAGAAGGCCUUAUGGUUGUAAAGCUCUUUCGGCCGGGAAGAAAUCGUAUCAGCUAAUACCUGGUGCGGAUGACGGUACCGGCAUAAGAAGCACCGGCUAACUACGUGCCAGCCGCCGCAGUAA